rnacentral:ncRNA from 1 species
CAAUCUCGGAGCCUAAAUUUGAAGCGGCACUGGGGGAUACGCGCAACGAACAUUCGGCUGAUUGUCUUGUUGCGUAGGGUAGGUAUCAACAAGCCAUUUGUUGAUAGACGGGAUAGCCUUGUUGCUUUGGCAGCAGAUGAGAGAGAAACCCAACA